UGCGUAGGCGGGAGAGUAAGUCCGCGGUGAAAUCUCACGGCUCAACCGUGAAACUGCCGUUGAUACUGCUUUUCUUGAGUUCGGGAGAGGUUGAUGGAAUUCCAGGUGUAGCGGUGAAAUGCGUAGAUAUCUGGAAGAACACCAGUGGCGAAGGCGGUCAACUGGCCCGAAACUGACGCUGAGGCACGAAAGCGUGGGGAGCGAACAGGAUUAGAUACCCUGGUAGUCCACGCCCUAAACGAUGAAUACUUGGUGUUGGCCCGCAAGGGUCAGUGCCGUAGGAAACCUGAUAAGUAUUCCACCUGGGGAGUACGCUCGCAAGGGUGAA
rnacentral:rRNA from 1 species